GGACUACUUCCAGCAGAAAAUGUUCUCUGGACUCUCAGCUGAGCAAUUGUGUCAGAGAGCUGAUGCUGAGGAUGACAGCUUCCAAGGUGUCUCAAAGUGAGAACCCCAAUAGCUGCUCCUGGGCUCAGUGGGAGAGAAGCCUGGUCUGAGUGUGAGUGAAGGAGCAGUGAAUCCAGGAGGCUUCCCUUGAGUGGUGAAGAUGGACAACUACUGACAGAGGACACUGCAACAAAAGUAACAGGAGAGGAUUACAUUUGAUUUUAGCAGAGUACAGUGUGAAAACUGAGCGAAUAAACUAUUUCUAGAAGAAAGCAGCAUGUGUAACAGCAAUAAGAGUAAGAAUCAGUCUUGCCCUUCUUACUCCAACUCCAUCUGCUGAUCACUCAUAUGAGAGUUCUAACAUCAGAGCUGCUUCCGAGCAUUGUUGAAGAUGUGGAACAGUGAAAUCUUUUUUGUCAAGCCUCCAAGACCAAAUAGCACCAGAGAUGAAAUUUUGAAUAUGUUGGACGAUUGAAGUGUUUUGGUUUGGUUUGGUUGGAAGACUGUACUAGCUUGCCAGAGGGAAUUCAGAGGAAACUAGAAUACUUUCCCAAAGAGAAGACGAAGCAAACAGCUGAGUUGAAAAAGCUGUCAUAAAUAUUUGCGUGGCAUCCCUAGCAAAGUUAAUGGAGGAAGAGGGAUGCUGUCUUAGAAGAUGAAGCAGUAUAUGGACAGACUUCAGAAAGCACAGAGAAAUAAAUGAAUUCCUCAUGGAAGGUGCUUUAUGGAGAACUCCUUUUUAUCUUCACGAGUCCUGGAGAAACAGCAGUGGCCUCCAAUGCCUUACUUCACCCCUAAGCUGAUUCCCUGCAUGUGUCUCUCGCAUAAGGAGCUCUGUUUGAUUGCUCUCCUUUUCUGUGGAGAUCACCUGAGCUGAGUGUUUACUUCACAGGGGUGUUCCCUCCCUUAAUUUUUCACUUGUUCAGAGUGGUUAGUCAUUGAGUAGGUACAACCAGGUCAGCAGACACAGAUCUACAAAUGUUGAUGGUAUGACAGCUUUUAUUACCAAUAAGUGUGCAAUUUUACUGAUGGUUCCUGAACAAUCAUUUUAAGUUGAAGUGUUUUCUAACCAGCAAUAUAACAAUUUGCCUGGAAUUUGCUAUAUAAAGUUAUGUAUGAUAAAUAUGCCUUGAUUCAGCAGAAAUAUAAUUUUAUGAAAUCAGUUUUUGUCAUGCUUUUAGUCCUGAUGAAUUUAUAGUAGUAUUUUCCCUCUAGGAGGACUUGACUGAAAUCUUUUGCCUUUCAUUAUAACAAUUAAAUUUCUUUUACACAUUUUAACCAGUAAUUUGUUGCAAAGCACUUUGAUAUGCUCUGCUCAGAUGGAAGACAUUAUAGAAGGAUUUUAUUGCUUUCAAAACGAAGUGAA